rnacentral:rRNA from 1 species
GAGUUUGAUCGUGGCUCAGAUUGAACGCUGGCGGCAGGCCUAACACAUGCAAGUCGAGCGGCAGCGCGGGGCAACCUGGCGGCGAGCGGCGGACGGGUGAGUAACGCGUAGGAAUCUACCCAGUAGCGGGGGAUAGCCCGGGGAAACUCGGAUUAAUACCGCAUACGCCCUAAGGGGGAAAGCAGGGGAUCUUCGGACCUUGCACUAUUGGCAGAGCCUGCGUUGGAUUAGCUAGUUGGUAGGGUAAAGGCCUACCAAGGCAACGAUCCAUAACUGGUCUGAGAGGAUGAUCAGUCACACCGGAACUGAGACACGGUCCGGACUCCUACGGGAGGCAGCAGUGGGGAAUAUUGGACAAUGGGGGCAACCCUGAUCCAGCCAUGCCGCGUGUGUGAAGAAGGCCU